AGCUUAGCCUACUUUAGCUUCUCACGACGCAGGCUAGCCAACUUCAGCCCGGACUAGCUUAGCUUAGCAACAACAUCUUGCGCUAUGAAAAAAAAAAAAGGUGUUUUCUCCUCCUUGUCAUGUUUGCCAACGGCGAAGCUCCGUUCAAUAAUGGACGUCUUUUAUCCGUUUAAAACCCCCCGCUUUUGUCAUUUUUGUGUGUUGUUGACGCCUCGCUAGCCUUUCGUGCCAUAUUCCUAUAAGUGAGUUUGAUAAGCACUUUCCAUCGCAGUUAUUGUUAGCGACCGUUAGCCAGCGUGCUAGCCCUAGCCUGGCUGGAGACAGGGCGCAGCUCCCACUGGAGCAAAUAUGUUAAAACAUUUUUUUUAAAAAGCUCGAUUUUGUGACAAUAAAUAUACUAUUUAUGUUAUCUAUGAGUGAAAACUGAAGAAAAUUAGAAUUUCCCGUGGAUUGCAUCUGUUUGUGCCUGCCUUGUUAUUGCAUUGUGUUACAUUGUUUGACAGCGAUAACAGCGAUUUAAUCGAUCGCCUGUCCGACGAUAGUUUCAUUCCAAAACAGUUGCGGAUCGAAUUGUUUUCUUGCUCCAUCCUCUGUUGCAGCCUGACGUUCUCUGUAAAAAAAAAAAAAAAAGCAACAGGAUACACUUCUUUUUCUUUGCCCCUACCCUACAAGAUUGCAUGUGAAGGAUUGCUUAUUAUUUUUAUUGGAUAGUAGUCUGUUUAUUUCAGUUCCUAUUUCUUUUCAUCUUUAUUACUUCUUGCGUAAUUUAUUUUUAUCACAUAUUUUGUUUCCACUACCAUACUCUUAGGUAAAACGGAAUCCAUCCUAUUUGUGUCCCAUAUCAACCUUAAAGGCCUACUGAAAGCCACUACUACCCACCACACAGUCUGAUAGUUUAUAUAUUAAUGAUGAAAUAUUAACAUUGCAACACGUGCCAAUACGGCUUUUUACUUUACUAAAUUACAACUUAAAAUUUUCGUCUUGAAAACGUGUAAUGAUGACGUGUACGCAAGACGUCACAGGCUGUUAGGAAAAUGAGCGCUGCACACACACACACACACAGCUAAAAGUCGUCUGCUUUAACGGAAUAAUUACACAGUAUUUUGGACAUCUGUGUUGCUGAAUCUUUUGUAAUUUGUUCAAUUAAUAUUGGAGAAGUCACAGUAGAAAGAUGGAGUUGGGAAGAUUUAGCCUUUAGCCACACAAACACACAGUGAUUCCUUGUUUAAAAUUCCUGGAGCUGAAACUUCACUAUGGAUCAGAGCAUGGUCAAGCCAACAUGGAUCCAGACCAAAUGUCAACCAGCAGUUUUCGCGGCCGUGGACUCCCCUGAGACACUGCGCGUCAAGAAACCCUUCCAACUAUCAGGUAAUAUUAAACUCACUAAAACACUAGCAACACAACAGAAAGAUAAGAGAUUUCCCAUAAUUAUCCAGUAAAUGUGUCUAAAAACAUCGAAAUCCAUCCCAAUGCAAUCGUGUUUUUAUUUUUUUACUUUUAUUUUUUUUGUCCGUCGCUGUCAAUAUCCUCAAACACAAAUCUUUCAUCCUCGCUCAAAUUAAUGGGGAAAUUGUCGUUUUCUCGGUCCAAAUAGCACUUUUUGUUGGAGGCUCCCAUUAAAAACAAUGUGAAUAUGUGAGGAGCCAUCAAACAUGUGACGUCAUCGUCUGCGACUUCCGGUAGAGGCAGAGCUUUUCUCUUAACACCGACAGUUGCGAACUUUAUCGUCGAUGUUCUCUACUAAAUCCUUUCAGCAAAAAUAUGGCAAUAUCACAAAAUUAUCAAGUACAACACAGAAUGGACCUGCUAUCCCCGUUUAAAUUAGAAAAUCUCAUUUCAGUAGGCCUUUAAGAAAGUCAGUGACUUCUCUAUAAAAGUGGGGGACAUUGUUAUCACCAGGAAAGAUGAGAUCACCUACCUAGGUUCCAUUCUAGAGGCUAAUCUUUCCUUGAAGAUUCUAGCGGGAACUCUCAUUCAACCCUUUUUCCAUUACGCUUGCACCUCCUGGUACACCAGCACCUCCAAAACCCUCAAAUCUAGACUCCAAACAUCCCAGAACAAGCUAGUCCGGUUACUUUUAGACCUCUACCCCAGAUCACACCUCACUCCAACCUACUUCUCCAAAGUGGAAUGGCUCAGGGUGGAGGACAGAGUCAAACAACUUGCACUGAGCCUAGUCUAUAAAAUCCGCUACACCUCCUUGAUACCGAAGUACAUGUCAAACUACUUCCUUAACGUAAAUGACCGCCAUAACCACAACACCAGGGGAGCUCCACAAACCACGUUAAACCCAGAUUCCGAUCUAACAAAGGUCUUAACUCAUACUCUAUCUAUGCCACGUCAAUGUGGAAUGCACUCCCAACAGGCAUAAAAGUAAGUGCAUCUUUAUAUUCCUUCAAAAGCGCUCUAAAACAACACCUCCAGGCAACUUUAACCCUUUACUAGUACCCUCCUCCAUUCACAUCUCAUGUCCCCGGAUUAUAAAUAACCUAAUGUAUAUAAUCAAAUGUACUUCUAAUGUAUAUACUUGUUCUUAUGCUAUCUGAACUCACUAUGUUCUCUGCUGGCUGUACAUAUCCUACUAAGACCUACACUGUUUCAAUGUCCAUUUCUCUGAUGAUUCAAUUGUUGAUGACUGAAGUACUGAUAUCAACCAAAGCUCCUCAUCCCACCCCCCGGAUUGUAAAUAAUGUAAAUAAUUCAAUGUAUAUACUAUGAUGAUUAACCUGUGUGAUGACUGUAUUAUGCUGAUAGUAUAUAUUUGUACCAUGAAUUGAAUAACGACCUAAACAAGUUGAAAAACUAAUUGGGGUGUUACCAUUUAGUGGUCAAUUGUACGGAAUAUGUACUGAACUGUGCAAUCUACUAAUAAAAGUAUCAAUCAAUCAAAA